GAAAAAAAAACCCACAUAUUUAAAAGUAACAAAUUUCCUUCCAAAUUCUUACUACCAAACAAAUAACUCGCAGCAAUGUCAAAAACAAUGACUUUGGAAGAUCUGGUCCUUCUGAUAUCCCAGACACCUACUCUCUUCUCGUCCUCAACAUCACCUUCCGGACUUCAGCGGAUAGGUAUGGCAAGGUUGUCGAUGUCAUCAUUCCUCGUGACGCAGAACUGGUGAAUCUCGGGGUUUUGCUUUUGUUCGUUACAAGUACAAAGAUGAGGCUGCGAAGGCUGUUGAAAAGCUUGAUGGCAAAGCUGUUGAUGGCAGAGAGAUAAUGGUUCAGAAGAUAGGAGUGUAUAGAAUUCCCCAUUUCUGCUGCCUCAGAAGAUAACCCGUUCUCACUACAAUCACCCUAAACUAAAAGGAGUUAAAGAUUUUAAAAAGAAAUACUGCUCUUCAAUUUCAAGAACACAAUUCAAUUUCAUCGGCACUUCGCAUCAAAUUGCUUUUACGGAUCGAGCUCUUUGGACGAGAUUUGGAACUCGAAUUUCUUAAAAUCGAAGGUGAAGAUUGUGCUAAUGGACAAUAUUGUAGAUGCCCUAAAUAAUGCAUAUCAAGAUUUUCUUGCUGCUGCUGCUGGGAUCUGUCAAUUUUUCCCUCGUUACUGCAAGCAAGUUUUUUUGAAGUAUAAAGAAAUCUCUUUUUUUAAUGUCCAUAUGCUAUGCUCUACUGGAAGUCUAAAAGGAUAAGAUAAGAGAGUUUUCCCUGGUCAUGCAAUGCUUUACAAAGCAGCCCUGUUGUCACAAAAUUAGUUCCUGCUGUUGGCAUUAUCAUAUUUACUCUAUGGGGUUUGGAACAACUCAUGCGAAUGAGCAGACAUUUUUUUUUUGCAUAGAAUUGUGUAAUUUGGGAGAUGAACAAAGAUCGACCAUCUGAUCCUCUCGAUUUUUUCAUGUGGACUGUUGAGCGAGUUUUCAGAUAUAUUCGGCUCGGAGAACUUCAAACGGGUGCUUGCAGAUGAUGUAAGAAUAGUUUCAUCACUGCCUUCAACCGUUGUUAAUGGACCAGCUAAAGAGAAUCAAACUCCUUUUGAAGGCACACCACAUUCAUUCAUCCGCCAACACUACCUUUGACGGGAUGGCUCUAAAAGAGUAGAAUAUCAUAAAGUCUUGAAAGCCCAAAUGACAACUGCCAUUUCAUAUAUGAGAAAGAAGAUAGUAGAAAAGGAAGGGAAGAUAGUGAUGAGUCCUAACAAAAUCUCAGGGUUCUUAAGAAGGAAGGGAAAGUUGAGUAUAUCAUUGCCUUGCAGUGCCUUUUCUCUGUAAUUAUAUUUUUCGGUUCCUAGAAGAGGAAAAAGAUCUUUAGUUGCAGAAACCUUUCUUCAUACCUUGUUUAUUGUAUCUUUUCUCUGUAAUUAUAUUUUUCGGUUCCUAGAAGAGGAAAAAGAUCUUUAGUUGCAGAAACCUUUCUUCAUACCUUGUUUAUUGUAUCUAAUUUAUUAUUCACUCAUCAGUCUACAAGUGCUUCUUCAAAGCUCUUUUUACUA